UAAAAUCCUCAUAGCUUUGGGUGGGCUCACCAAGCUUCUCCACAAUGACUUGCUUUGCCUUCUCCUCAAUCUUGAAAACUAUAUACCGGUAUGUUCUUUUUGCCUUGAGCUCCAAGAACCUCAAUUUGCAGUCAUCAUGGACUGCCAUGCCAGAAGCAGCAUUGGCCUGAAAACCACAUUAACAUCAUUAAGACCAAGUUUUCAUUGCAAUUCCAAAAUCGACAACAUAUGCAGACUGUAUAUUGAAAAUGUAACAUGAAUAAUUGAAUAACCAUUGUGCACUAAAAAAUGCUCCAAGCGGAGAAAAGCAAUAACAAAAUUGCAAGCGAAACGAACGUAAAGUUAACUCCAAUACUGCAAUUGCGAUAACCUAGAUAUCACUUCUAUACAAUACUGACAUUGAUUGUCCACUUAAGUUAGCAUCACAACUUGGAUGAUCCACGAUAGAAGGAAUAAAAUGAUUUUUAACGAAUUUAUGCUUUAUUGUAGAUUGAAAAACAUAUUAACUGGAACCUCCUUCAGGGGUUUUAGAUUGAACAGGGUAGGACUUAUAGGACUUUCCCAUACCUUGCUAAAGCUAACAUUGUUGUCACACUCAACAGGUGCUUAGUUAGGUAGGUGGCUUUGGCUAUAAGGUUGGUACUAGUUAGCCUACCAUUUCUUUCUGUGAACUAAGACAAUCUGCAGGCUUUCCACUGUGGCAAAGCAUGCCCACAGUUUGAAGCUUGAAGUCACCUUCUUUAGAGGAAACACCACCAGUUAUUUUAACUACCCAGCUUAUUAGUAUUAGCAAGAUCUCAAUGAACAUAGAAGUGCUUUGUAGUUUAGGGCUUUACGCCCCUUUAAAUAUCAAGGAAGCAAACGAACUUACAAUUCAUCAAAAGAUAUCUGUACCCUUCAUUUGAUCAUAUGAUAAAUUGAACAAUGGAUAAGCAAAACAAAUGGCACAACAUAUCUUUACCCUUCAUUCUUGCCCAGUUUUUUUCUCCUUUUGGAAGACCAAGCAUCAGCCCACCUCAACAGACAAAUACAAACUAUUGGAUUUCAUUUAGAGACUUCGUUUGCUAUAUCAGGUUGUUAAGGAAGUCCGAUCGGGUGUUAAAAUUUUCAUUUCCUUAAUAACAAGUUUCCUAAUCAGCCAAACAGAAAACAUGAAUACACUAGGAACUCGUUGUAAGAGCCGAAACCAUCAAAAUAACGACCAGAUACCAACAUAAACAAACAAACAAACUCAUUGUGAAGUCAAACAAGCCGGAUCGACCAAGUUUAUGUGAAAUAAAAUUAGACAAAGUCCAAAAUUAAUAUCAUGUCAAAUUCAAACAAAUUUAACCGUCAUCACCAUCAACGAAACGACAAUUACAUCUCACAUGAACUCCAAAAGAAAGGUCUACACGCCAGCCAACAACGCUAAAUUGCUAAUCACUAUCGGCAGAUACAACUAUACCAAAUCCCUAACACAAGAUCCAUAACAGCUAUUAGAUUUAACAUCGAACCAAAAUCAGACCAGAUCUGCAAGCAAAAACGAAAAGCAAAUGAACAGUUGAUGAGCCAUAAAUGUGCACAGUUUUCACAAAGCCAACCAGAUUUAAACUUUAAAAACCAGAUCGAUGGCGGAUCAAACACCGAUUCCAGAAUAAGAGCAAGCUAAAUCAAACAACCUAAGUAAAAAAGCCGAUGAGGCAGCAGAGAUUUCGCAGGCAAAUAGAAAAGGAAGUGACGAGGAAGAUCAAAACCGUAGAACAGCAAAGAAAGAAGAACUCGAAGACUCACCAUUUUCUUGUUUUUCUUCAAUGUCAGGGUUUGGAUACAGUAGCCGCAGAGAGGAAAAAGAUAUUGACGCAGAAGCGAAUACAGAGACGAGCGUCUCUUCCGAUAACCAAAGCUGCGUGACAGGAUGUUCAAUUUAAUUAGGUGGCUCUAUGUCGGAAGGAAUUGAUAAAAUGUUUAUGUUGCAUUUGAGUUUUCAGUGUGAGGGAAUCUUGGUCCAAUCAAAUGAAGCCAUGUCAAGUCAGAGUCAGGAUAAUAAGAA
rnacentral:misc_RNA from 1 species